GUCCGAAUCCACACUGUCUAGCUUGUUAAUGGAAGUAUAGGAGUUCCAUCCUCGAGAAAAUGGAAGAGGGGUUUACCUUCUGAAGUUGCAGCCAUGGCGGCCCCAACAAAGGGUUUGAUUGCCAUCAAGGGAAUGCUGCACUGAACAACUGCGAAUCUACCACAAUCAAGAUAAACCCUAACGCCGGAAACGAAAAUUAAAAAAACCAAAAAGGAACCAAUUACAAAUCAAAC